CUUCUUGGAGCGUGGGAACCAACUUGUCAAAUGGAAAAGUCGCUGGGUUGUCGUGGCCCAGAGUCGGCGCAGUGUGAACGGGGCUUUAGGGUAGGUUAGGUGGUUAUGUUGGGUUAGGGUAGGUUACGUUGGAUUAGGUUAACUUAGCUUGGGUUAGGGUAGGUUACGUUGGAUUAGGUUAACUUAGCUUGGGUUAGGGUAGGUUACGUUGGAUUAGGUUAACUUAGCUUGGGUUAGGGUAGGUUACGUUGGAUUAGGUUGCGUUAAGGUUACGUUGGAUUAGGUUAGGUUGGGUUAGGGUAGGUUACAUUGGAUUAGGCUGCCUUAGGGUUACGUUGGAUUAGCACUUUAACACUAUAACUUUACAUUCCUCCUUUGCUAUAUAGUGCCACCAUACACACACACAUAGAAACAUAACAGCUUGCGGGAAGAGGUGGUGAAUGCGAGCAGUGUCCAAUAAAUGAAGGAAAGGCUGGAUAAAUGUAGUUAUGGAGACGGGACUAGAGUUUAUUUCGGGCCCGGUAGACUUCAAACAGGUAAAUACAAAUAGGUAAACACAUGCAUACCAAACAUAGGAGAACCUCUAAUACAUCUAACAUUCCCUGCUCACCUGUUAAUUAAUCCCAUACCUUAGACUGGUCACAUUUUGCUUUAUUAUCAUUAGCUCUACCAUCAUCAUCAUCAUCAUCAUCACCAUCAUCAUCAGCCCUGCAGCCAGCAAUAACUCUUCCAAUUAAUCACAGCUCCCAUUUUCUUUUUUUUUUUCUUUUUUCUUUUUCUUCAUCCACAUAAAGAUAAUCUGAAGAUGAUGGGCGUGUCAUCUUCUUGUUAUCCCUGUUUGUCUUUGUCAUUAUCUCUCUCUCUCUCUCUCUCUCUCUCUCUCUCUCUCUCUCUCUCUCUCUCUCUCUCUCUCUCUCUCUCUCUCUCUCUCUCUCUCUCUCUCAUCUCUUCUAUCUUUUCCUUUCAUCUUUUCCUCAUAAAUCAAAGGCAAUUUUCUUCUCUCCUACUUAUCAUUUUCUAUUCAUCUUUUUUUUUUUUGUCCCUUCCAUCCAAUCAUCUUUCCUACUCAAAUCAAACCCAUUUUCUGUUUUUUUUACUUCAUUCUUUUCUUUCUUUUUACUUUUACUACUCAAAUCAAACCACUUUUUUUUUCUUUUUACUUCAUUCUUCCUUUUCUUUCUUUUUUUCUUCCUUUUCUUUCUCUUUUUCUUCCUUUCUACAUCAUUCUUCCUUUUCUUUCUCUUUUUCUUCCUUUCUACUUCAUUCUUCCUUUUCUUUCUCUUUUUCUUCCUUUCUACUUCAUUCUUCCUUUUCUUUCUCUUUCUUCUUCAUUCUUCCUUUUCUUUCUCUUUUUCUUCUUUUCUACUUCAUUCUUCCUUUUCUUUCUCUUUCUUUCUUUCUUCAUUCUUCCUUUUCUUUCUCUUUUUCUUCCUUUCUACUUCAUUCUUCCUUUUCUUUCUUUUUUCUUUCUUUCUACUUCAUUCUUCCUUUUCUUUCUUUUUUCUUUCUUUCUACUUCAUUCUUUCUUUUCUUUUUUCUUUCUUUCUACUUCCUUUUCCCUUUUUUAUUUUUUAUUCCUUUUUUUGUGUUUAAUUUUGCAUUUGAGUAACUUUUUUAUCUUUUUAUUUCAUUUUCUUUUGUUUUCUUCUUUUUCUCAUUUAUUCUUUCUUUGUGCUUAAUUUCGCAUUUAUUAGUGACUUUUUUUAUUUUGCUAUUGUUUUUUUCCUCUUUAUUUCAACAUUUUUCAUUUUUACAUUUUAUUUUGAGCGUACAAUUUUACUUUCUUUCUAAUUAAUUCUUUCUUUUCUUUAUAUUAUUUUACUUUUUUCAUCUUAAGUUUUACAUUUUAUUUUGCAUGUAUGAGUUUGCUUUCUUUCUUCUUCAUUCUUCCUUUUAUUUCAUUUCUUUUUACUUUUCUAUUUUUAUUCUUUAUUUUUGCUCUAUUUUUCAUCUAUGAGUAUUUUUUCUUUAUUUCAUUCUUUUUAUUCACUUUUUUUCUUUUUUCUUUUGUUUGUUUGAGUAACUUAAGGUUGCUUUCUUUGAUUAUUGUUGUCGGUUUUCCUUCCAUCUAUUCAUUUUACGGGUAUUUGAUUCAUAUGAGGAGGACAAAUGAUACUAAUUUUUCUCUCUCUCUCUCUCUCUCUCUCUCUCUCUCUCUCUCUCUCUCUCUCUCUCUCUCUCUCUCUCUCUCUCUCUCU